rnacentral:tRNA from 1 species
AUUUAAAUAGUUUAUUUAAAACAUUACAUUUUCAAUGUAAAAUUAUAUGACCCUACAUAUUUUAAAUU